CAGAUAUUGUGGCUUAUAGUAUAUGAAAAAAUCCGUGAACAGGGGGUGGGUGCUCGAGCCGACGUUUCGACAAGUGGACUUGUCUUCUUCAAGGCUGAAAC
rnacentral:lncRNA from 1 species